rnacentral:rRNA from 1 species
GGGUCAGUAGGUUGGUCGUGCCACCGGUACGUACUGGUCUCACUGAUUCCUCCUUCCUGAAGAACCGUAAUGCCAUUAAUUUGGUGUUGCGGGGAAACAGGACUGUUACUUUGAAAAAAUUAGAGUGUUUAGAGCAAGCUAACGCUUGAAUACAUUAGCAUGGAAUAAUGAAAUAGGACGAUCGAUCCUAUUUUGUUGGUUCCUAGGAUUGACGUA